UAGGUGAUGUUCUUUUUCUUCAGUUCAGAAGGGCCAACGAGUGCUGAGAUUUCGUCCUUGUGAUGCCCUUGAAUUACAUGAAACGAAGUUGUUUUGAAAGUCUUAUAAACUCUUUAAAUCAAUGCAUUCUUAGCUAAGAAUAACAUAGUGCUAGCAAAUGAUCCAAGAUGGCGUAUCAAGUAAUCGAGAGGCACAGUUGCUGUUGGUACGCGUACAUUAGGUUUGGUGUUCAUAAGGAUUCUUUUAUUUUGGUUAGGGAUUUGUGUGGGAUUCAAAGGAACUCAACUUUAGAUAAUCCAUACUUGUCUUAAAAAAUUACUCUAUUAGAAUGUAAUGAAAUAGGCCAAAAUAAAGCGAAGAACCCGAAGGUUCAGUCAAUUUCACCUGUUUUGAUUACAUCAUAUUGUAUUUAUUAUGGUUGUGGUCUGUGUUGGUCAAUGUUUGAG